AGUGAACGCUGGCGGCGUGCCUAAUACAUGCAAGUCGAACGGAGUGGCGCACGGGUGAGUAAUGUAUAGCUAAUCUGCCCUACACUAGAGGACAACAGUUGGAAAAGGCUGCUAAUACUCUAUAGUGUAGGAUGAGGCUAUAUUGUAUCAGCUAGUUGGUGAGGUAAUGGCUCACCAAGGCUAUGACGCAUAACUGGUCCGAGAGGAUGAUCAGUAACACGGGAAGGGAGACACGGUCCAGACACCUACCGGAGGCAGCGGUAGGGAAUAUUGCUAAAUGGGCGAAAGCCUGAAGCAGCAUCGCAGCGUGGAGCAUGACAAUUAUCGGAGCACAAACGCCUUUUGUUAGGGAAGCGGUACCUAACCAAUAAGCAACGGCUAACUCCGUGCCAGCAGCCGCGGUAAUUC
rnacentral:rRNA from 1 species